UUGGGCCUUAGGAAAUUUAAUGGGUAAUUAUUUGGGUUACCCAUUAAUUGUAUGGGCUUCUGAGAGUCAAUGGAUAAUUAUUCCCUGACAGCCCAUGAGCAAAGAGCCCAGAAAACUUUGAUCCAGCAGGCAAUUAAAACAACCUGAUAGCUAUCCAACUCUUUAUAGAGUUUGUUUCUAAGUAAAAUCAGACCUUGCAGUCCCAUCUUUAUCUGGAAUACUUGUGAUCAGUCCGAAUUAAAAGCAAACAUUGUUAUCACUCAGUCUUUAAAAAAAAAGGAAAAAAAAAGCACACCAAGUCACAAUCGGUACAGAGCAAACAACAGGAGAAAAUCAGAAGGGAAACUGCCGCAAUACAUCAAGAGGUUUCAGACUUCUUCUUUUUUUUUGUCUUUUUACUCUGCAGCACCAAGUGCCCUUGUUUUUCUUUGCUUCCAAUCUCCAGCAAAGUGGCGUCAGCCACCUUUUUUUUCUUUUUUUUUUACUUUGACUUUUCUUCUUCUUUUGAUGAUUGUAGCAAACCUUUUCUCUUCUUUUUUUUUUUUAUUGUCAUACACCAUGACCUGUAUUUGGGUUGUUCGCUAAGAGACCAACAGAUGGGGCAUUCAAUGCGUAGGCUGCUCCAACAUGGCCCUUCCCAAGUUUUGCUUUUUGGCUGGCACCUUUCUCUCCUUCUAAACCAGCGACACCCACGAAGUGGCAUACAGCCACUUUCUCUCCUCUCUUUUUUUUAGUGGCUGUUUUCCUGCUUUAAUUUUUUUUUCUGUCUGUUGUGAUUGUGUGCCCAACAAGAGGAUCAUCUAAGAGAGAGAGGGAGAGGGGCUGUGACAGAAAAACAUGGCCUCUAUUUUCUUUCCCCCUUUUUUUUACAGAUCUCCAUUUUUUUUCCUCUGCCUAUUCUUUUCUUCAUGACUAACAUCCUUUACAUUUUUUUUUGAUGUAGUUUGCUCAGAGAGAAAAAUAAAGGCCUUCUUAAGCAGAGAUGGAGAGGAGUGGUGAGAGAGCCCAAGAGGUACAAGGGAUUUAAGAGGGAAGAUGAAAGGGUGCUAAGGUUUGCUCAUGAAUCGAGGCGUGGGUACCCUUGGUUGGCUAUAAAUAAGAACUUAGAGUGGUGAAGGCACCACACUUGAGUUGAGGAGAGAAAUUGUGAGAAAUUGAGGAGGAGGAGGAGGAGGAAAGAGUUCCGGCGAGAGUUUUUUGGUGGUGCUUGUAGCUGAGGUGAUUUCCGGCGACUCCUACGUGGUGGUACGAACAAGAUUCAGUGAAGUGGGGGCCUAUCUCCAAGGAGCAGGAGGACGAGGUUAAGUGGGUGAGGGCACAGCUGUCGGAGACCAAGCGCGAGUGCGGGAACUUAGUCACUCAGAAGAAUUUGUUGGAGUCCGGACUCCUACAAGGAAGUAGGUACCUGGGUCACAUUUAUUAGUUGUCUGCUGAGCCUUUUGUGGUUGUGACUAAUGUAAUUUUGUAUGAACAGUAGCAAAAUAAAGGAAUUUUGUAUGAACUUGGUGACGGAAGGCAUGAGCUAAAUUGAAGA